rnacentral:lncRNA from 1 species
UAGCAUGGUUUGUUGGUGACCUAGUCAGCUAGAUUUAUAUCAGUUGGUGAGGGACAACCACUCAGUUGGGGCGGGACCAUUAUUCAGGAGGACUAGGAUGUCAGAAGAGCAGGGGCCACAGGUGACUUGUGCUUGCCAUUCAGAAAGCAAGAGCCCAGGAUCACUACCCUAGGCAUGGCCAUACCUACAAAUGGCUGGGUUCUCCCCCAUCAAUCAGCAAUUAAGAGAACGCUUUACAGCUGUGUUGGGAGCCGCGCCCACAUUCGCCGUUACAAGAUGGCGCUGACAGCUGUGUUCUAAGUGGUAAACAAA